rnacentral:lncRNA from 1 species
CCAAGUAUAUGACAUUAAUUUUCCUCUCAUUCAGUUCCAUCAUCUCCCUCGUAACUGUUUUUGUCUCUGCAAUAUUUAUUUCGAUUUCACCUUUGUUUUGUUAAUUAUAGGAAAAUAAAUCAAUCAGUGGUUGCUGUUUUAUUUGAAGGGGCAUCUAUCGCUUUUAAAAUGCUUCGGAUUGAAUAGGAGGAGAUGGAGUGAAUCAUGUCUUCUUUUUGGCCAACCAAGAUUACUUACCGAUUUCCAACUUAUUUCGUCUCUGAGAUUGGUACUUUCCAAGUUUUUUCGCU